AUAAACCUAAGCAGUCAUCAUAAAAGGCCGCUGGGUGGCGCCAGUGUACAAAGUGCGGUUCACCCAGCAGGUGGAGAAGGUGGUCUUGGAUUGGGGACGUGACGUCAGGCAUUCAGGUGAAUUGAAGACCGGUGUGCACGAGAGGAGUUAUCAAAUACAGGUGAAGCAAGAUGGCGGACGACAGCGCGGCAUUCUCUCAGGAUUUUCGACCUUGGAGGACGCAGUCGCGUUUGAGGUUUGAGCACAGCACGUCACAAUUCACUCUUUUGCUUCAUUCAGCACGGUGCUUGGGUUCUUUUGCCGCUCGUAUUACAUCUAUUUUUUUCAUGCUAGCCAGCUCGUUUGCAUUCUAAGUACUAUAAAAGACACACGUGGUGGCUUUAUAUUAGUGGAUUGACCUAUAAAAGUGGCCUUUUGUUUGAAUGUUUGACUAAUUAUCUGCUCUUACGAAGUUUACUGUGCAUGCAAAAUGUUUUUUCACUCCCUUAUAUGAAGAAGGCCUAUUGUAUUGGAGUGUUUCAUUUUGCCAAUUGUUUGUGACUUUUGUCAAAUCCUUGACGCUUCAAACCCCUUCCGCUCCAAAUAAAGCCAUAUUAAAUGACUAGAUAAAUAAAUGCAUAGAUAAAUACAUAAACCAUUAAAAAUAUACAUAAAUGAAUAAAUGCAUAGAUAACUAAAUACAUGAAAACACCAAUA